rnacentral:rRNA from 1 species
GACGAACGCUGGCGGCGUGCUUAACACAUGCAAGUCGAACGAAGAGCGAUGGAAGCUUGCUUCUAUCAAUCUUAGUGGCGAACGGGUGAGUAACGCGUAAUCAACCUGCCCUUCAGAGGGGGACAACAGUUGGAAACGACUGCUAAUACCGCAUACGAUCCAAUCUCGGCAUCGGGACUGGAUGAAAGGUGUUCUCUAUUUAUAAGCUAUCAUUGAAGGAGGGGAUUGCGUCUGAUUAGCUAGUUGGGGGGGUAACGGCCCACCAAGGCGAUGCUCAGUAGCCGGUCUGGGAAGAUGGACGGCCACAUUGGGACUGGGACACGGCCCAGACUCCUACGGGAGGCAGCAGUGGGGAAUCUUCCGCAAUGGACGAAAGUCUGACGGAGCAACGCCGCGUGAGUGAUGACGGCCUUCGGGUUGUAAAGCUCUGUUAAUCGGGACGAAUGGUUCUUGUGCGAAUAGUGCGAGGAUUUGACGGUACCGGAAUAGAAAGCCACGGCUAACUACGUG